rnacentral:rRNA from 1 species
UCCAGGACCCUACGGGGCGCAGCAGGCGCGAAACCUCCGCAAUGCGGGCAACCGCGACGGGGUUAGCCGGAGUGCCCGUGCAUCGCACGGGCUGUCGGGGUGCCUAAACAGCACCCCAUAGCAAGGGCCGGGCAAGGCCGGUGGCAGCCGCCGCGGUAAGACCGGCGGCCCGAGUGGCGGCCACUCUUAUUGGGCCUAAAGCGUCCGUAGCCGGCCCAGUAAGUCCCCCGGGAAAUCUGGUCGCUUAACGAUCAGACUUCCGGGGGAUACUGCUGGGCUAGGGACCGGGAGAGGCCGAGGGUAUUCCCGGGGUAGGGGUGAAAUCCUGUAAUCCCGGGAGGACCACCUGUGGCGAAGGCGCUCGGCUGGAACGGGUCCGACGGUGAGGGACGAAGGCCUGGGGAGCGAACCGGAUUAGAUACCCGGGUAGUCCAGGCUGUAAACGAUGCGGGCUAGGUGUCACCGGAGCUACGAGCUCCGGUGGUGCCGGAGGGAAGCCGUUAAGCCCGCCGCCUGGGAAGUACGGCCGCAAGGCUGAAACUUAAAGGAAUUGGCGGGGGAGCACUACAACGGGUGGAGCCUGCGGUUUAAUUGGAUUCAACGCCGGGAAGCUUACCGGGGGAGACAGCGGGAUGAAGGUCGGGCUGAAGACCUUACCAGACUAGCUGAGAGGUGGUGCAUGGCCGCCGUCAGUUCGUACUGUGAAGCAUCCUGUUAAGUCAGGCAACGAGCGAGACCCGCGCCCUCAGUUGCCAGCGGGUCCCUUCGGGGAUGCCGGGCACACUGAGGGGACUGCCGGCGCUAAGCCGGAGGAAGGUGCGGGCAACGGCAGGUCCGUAUGCCCCGAAUCCCCCGGGCUACACGCGGGCUACAAUGGCCGGGACAAUGGGUACCGACCCCGAAAGGGGUGGGUAAUCUCCUAAACCCGGUCUAACCUGGGAUCGAGGGCUGCAACUCGCCCUCGUGAACCUGGAAUCCGUAGUAAUCGCGUCUCAAAAUGGCGCGGUGAAUACGUCCCUGCUCCUUGCACACACCGCCCGUC